GAUGAACGCUGGCGGCGUGCCUAAUACAUGCAAGUAGAACGCCGAAGGAGGAGCUUGCUCUUCUGGAUGAGUUGCGAACGGGUGAGUAACGCGUAGGUAACCUGCCUGGUAGCGGGGGAUAACUAUUGGAAACGAUAGCUAAUACCGCAUGACAACAGUUAUUGCAUGAUAACUGUUUAAAAGGGGCAACUGCUCCACUACCAGAUGGACCUGCGUUGUAUUAGCUAGUUGGUGAGGUAACGGCUCACCAAGGCGACGAUACAUAGCCGACCUGAGAGGGGGAUCGGCCACACUGGGACUGAGACACGGCCCAGACUCCUACGGGAGGCAGCAGUAGGGAAUCUUCGGCAAUGGACGGAAGUCUGACCGAGCAACGCCGCGUGAGUGAAGAAGGUUGUCGGAUCGUAAAGCUCUGUUGUAAGAGAAGAACGAGUGUGAGAGUGGAAAGUUCACACUGUGACGGUAGCUUACCAGAAAGGGACGGCUAACUACGUG
rnacentral:rRNA from 1 species